rnacentral:rRNA from 1 species
GACGGAGGAUGCAAGUGUUAUCCGGAAUCACUGGGCGUAAAGAGCUUGUAGGCGGUUUGUCGCGUCUGCUGUGAAAAUCCGGGGCUCAACCCCGGACUUGCAGUGGGUACGGGCAGACUAGAGUGUGGUAGGGGAGACUGGAAUUCCUGGUGUAGCGGUGGAAUGCGCAGAUAUCAGGAGGAACACCGAUGGCGAAGGCAGGUCUCUGGGCCAUUACUGACGCUGAGAAGCGAAAGCAUGGGGAGCAAACAGG